rnacentral:rRNA from 1 species
GACCUCGGAUCAGGUAGGAAUACCCGCUGAACUUAAGCAUAUCAAUAAGCGGAGGAAAAGAAACCAACAGGGAUUACCUCAGUAACGGCGAGUGAAGCGGUAAUAGCUCAAAUUUGAAAUCUGGCUCUCUCAGGGUCCGAGUUGUAAUUUGUAGAGGAUGUUUCGGGCACGGUUACGGUUUAAGUUUCUUGGAACAGAAUGUCAAAGAGGGUGAGAGUCCCGUCUUGAACCGAUUACUUCGUCCAUGUGAAACUCCUUCGACGAGUCGAGUUGUUUGGGAAUGCAGCUCAAAAUGGGUGGUAAAUUUCAUCUAAAGCUAAAUAUUGGCCAGAGACCGAUAGCGCACAAGUAGAGUGAUCGAAAGAUGAAAAGCACUUUGAAAAGAGCGUUAAACAGUAUGUGAAAUUGUUGAAAGGGAAGCGC